rnacentral:rRNA from 1 species
GACGGGGGGUCCUAGCGUUGUUCGGAAUUAUUGGGCGUAAAGCGUGUGCAGGUUGUCUGAAAAGUUAGAUGUGAAAGCCCCGGGCUCAACCUGGGAAUUGCGGUUGAAACUGGCGAACUAGAAUCUGGCAGAGGGGGGUGGAAUUCCACGUGUAGCAGUGAAAUGCGUAGAGAUGUGGAGGAACACCGAUGGCGAAGGCAGCCCCCUGGGUCAAGACUGACGCUCAUGCACGAAAGCGUGGGGAGCAAACAGG